rnacentral:rRNA from 1 species
GCGGCGAGCGAACGGGGAGGAGCCCAGAGCCUGAAUCAGUGUGUGUGUUAGUGGAAGCGUCUGGAAAGGCGCGCGAUACAGGGUGACAGCCCCGUACACAAAAAUGCACAUAUUGUGAGCUCGAUGAGUAGGGCGGGACACGUGGUAUCCUGUCUGAAUAUGGGGGGACCAUCCUCCAAGGCUAAAUACUCCUGACUGACCGAUAGUGAACCAGUACCGUGAGG